rnacentral:misc_RNA from 1 species
AAACUUCCAACAAACUUAGAAUGAAUAAACAGUAAAUCUACUAGAUCUAAACAGUUCAAGGAGAUCUUACACACAAAAGCAGGACCUAACAUUCACCAGUAGGUGCAGGACAAAAAGAGCCCAACUCAUUUACAUCAAUUCGAGACACAGAGAGAAAAGCACAUAGGAUGAUAACGAUAACAUAAGGCAAAGGUAUGGUUCUCAUAGCAUACAGUCUGUUCUCGCAGGCAGUCUUCUGAAGAAAUUAAGUGGCGCAGAUGGUAGCUUGUGACGGAACCUUGGAUGUCUCAGUACAUAAAAUCCUGACAAGAGUGCCACAACUUGGAAGGGUGUCACAUAGAGCACAAUGGCAGCAAUCAAGCAGAAAAUGACAAACAGCGCGGUUGCUCUAGGGUCUCUCCAGCUCAACAAAGACUGCAGCCUCUCCCCUUGAGUAGCCAAAUCACCAACCACAGUCUGAA